rnacentral:rRNA from 1 species
GAUGAACGCUCGCGAUAGGCUUAACACAUGCAAGUCGAGGGGCAGCACAAGGUAGCUUGCUAUCUGGGUGGCGACCGGCGCACGGGUGCGUAACGCGUAUGCAACUUGCCCUAUACAGGAGGAUAACCCGUCGAAAGACGGACUAAUACUGCGUAUGCUCACAACUUGGCAUCAAGUGGUGAGGAAAGAAAUUCGGUAUAGGAUAGGCAUGCGUCCCAUUAGCUUGUUGGUGAGGUAACGGCUCACCAAGGCAACGAUGGGUAGGGGAACUGAGAGGUUUAUCCCCCACACUGGGACUGAGACACGGACCAGACUCCUACGGGAGGCAGCAGUGAGGAAGAUUGGUCAAGGGGCGCGAGCCUGAACCAGCCAAGUCGCGUGAAGGAUGACUGUCUUAUGGAUUGUAAACUUCUUUUAGACGGGAAUAACAAGAGUCACGGGUGACUCCCUGCAUGUACCGUAUGAAUAAGCAUCGGCUAACUCCGUG